GAUGAACGCUGGCGGCGUGCUUAACACAUGCAAGUCGAACGAAGCAUUUAGGACAGAUUACUUCGGUUUGCAGUUCUUUAUGACUGAGUGGCGGACGGGUGAGUAACGCGUGGGUAACCUGCCUUGUACUGGGGGAUAGCAGCUGGAAACGGCUGGUAAUACCGCAUAAGCGCACAAUGUUGCAUGACAUGGUGUGAAAAACUCCGGUGGUAUAAGAUGGACCCGCGUCUGAUUAGCUAGUUGGUGAGAUAACAGCCCACCAAGGCGACGAUCAGUAGCCGACCUGAGAGGGUGACCGGCCACAUUGGGACUGAGACACGGCCCAGACUCCUACGGGAGGCAGCAGUGGGGAAUAUUGCACAAUGGAGGAAACUCUGAUGCAGCGACGCCGCGUGAGUGAAGAAGUAAUUCGUUAUGUAAAGCUCUAUCAGCAGGGAAGAUAGUGACGGUACCUGACGAAGAAGCUCCGGCUAAAUACGUG
rnacentral:rRNA from 1 species